rnacentral:rRNA from 1 species
GGGAUAUUGGGCAAUGGGGGCAACCCUGACCCAGCCAUGCCGCGUGAGGGAAUGAGGCCCCAGUGGUCGUGAACCUCUUUUGCGCGGGGACAAGGACCUGGUCGGGAACCGGGUUUGAGGGUACCGCGCGAAUAAGCAUCGGCUACCUCCGUGCCAGCAGCCGCGGUAAUACGGAGGAUGCGAGCGUUAUCCGGAUUCAUUGGGUUUAAAGGGUGCGCAGGCGGCCCGUGCAAGUCGGCGGUGAAAUCCCGGGGCCCAACCCCGGAAGUGCCGUCGAUACUGUCGGGCUGGAAUGCGGUCGAGGCGGGCGGAACGUGGCGUGUAGCGGUGAAAUGCGUAGAUAUGCCACAGAACGCCGAUAGCGGAGGCAGCUCGCCAGGCCUGCAUUGACGCUCGGGCACGAAAGCGUGGGGAUCGAACA